rnacentral:rRNA from 1 species
AUUGAACGCUGGCGGCAGGCCUAACACAUGCAAGUCGGACGGUAGCACAGAGGAGCUUGCUCCUGGGUGACGAGCGGCGGACGGGUGAGUAAUGUCUGGGAAACUGCCUGAUGGAGGGGGAUAACUACUGGAAACGGUAGCUAAUACCGCAUAACGUCGCACGACCAAAGAGGGGGACCUUCGGGCCUCUUGCCAUCCGAUGUGCCCAAAUGGGAUUAGCUAGUAGGUGGGGUAACGGCUCACCUAGGCGACGAUCCCUAGCUGGUCUGAGAGGAUGACCAGCCACACUGGAACUGAGACACGGUCCAGACUCCUACGGGAGGCAGCAGUGGGGAAUAUUGCACAAUGGGCGCAAGCCUGAUGCAGCCAUGCCGCGUGUAUGAAGAAGGCCUUCGGGUUGUAAAGUACUUUCAGCGGGGAGGAAGGCGAUAAGGUUAAUAACCUUGUCGAUUGACGUUACCCGCAGAAGAAGCACCGGCUAACUCCGUGCCAGCAGCCGCCGUAACAC